rnacentral:rRNA from 1 species
UACGUAGGGCGCAAGCGUUGUCCGGAAUUAUUGGGCGUAAAGAGCUCGUAGGCGGCUUGUCACGUCGGGUGUGAAAGCCCGGGGCUUAACCCCGGGUCUGCAUUCGAUACGGGCUAGCUAGAGUGUGGUAGGGGAGACUGGAAUUCCUGGUGUAGCGGUGAAAUGCGCAGAUAUCAGGAGGAACACCGGUGGCGAAGGCGGGUCUCUGGGCAGUAACUGACGCUGAGGAGCGAAAGCGUGGGGAGCGAACAGG